rnacentral:rRNA from 1 species
UACCUGCAGCUCAAGUGGUGAUCAUUAUUAUUGGGCCUAGAACGUCCGUAGCCGGUUUAGUAAAUGCCUGGGUAAAUCGUGUAGCUUAACUAUACGACUUCCGGGUAGACUACUAAACUUGAGACCGGGAGAGGCUAGAGGUACUCCUGGGGUAGAGGUGAAAUUCUGUAAUCCUAGGGGGACCACCAGUGGCGAAGGCGUCUAGCUAGAACGGGUCUGACGGUGAGGGACGAAGCCCUGGGGCACAAACCGGAUUAGAUACCCGGGUAGUCCAGGGUGUAAACGCUGCUUGCUUGAUGUUAGUUGGGCUCCGAGCCCAACUAGUGUCGGAGAGAAGUUGUUAAGCAAGCUGCCUGGGAAGUACGGUCGCAAGGCUGAAACUUAAAAGAAUUGGCGGGGAGCACAGCAACGGGUGGAGCGUGCGGUUU